rnacentral:rRNA from 1 species
UGGGGAAUUUUGGACAAUGGGCGCAAGCCUGAUCCAGCCAUGCCGCGUGCGGGAAGAAGGCCUUCGGGGUUGUAAACCGCCUUUGUCAGGGAAGAAAAGUCUUCUGAGUUAAUACCUCGGGGAGGAUGACGAUACCUGAAGAAUAAGCACCGGCUAACUACGUGCCAGCAGCCGCGGUAAUACGUAGGGUGCAAGCGUUAAUCGGAAUUACUGGGCGUAAAGCGUGCGCAGGCGGUUUUGUAAGACAGAGGUGAAAUCCCCGGGCUCAACCUGGGAACUGCCUUUGUGACUGCAAGGCUUGAGUGCGGCAGAGGGGGGAUGGAAUUCCGCGUAUAGCAGUGAAAUGCGUAGAUAUGCGGAGGAACACCGAUGGCGAAGGCAAUCCCCUGGGCCUGCACUGACGCUCAUGCACGAAAGCGUGGGGAGCAAAACAGGAUUAGAUACCCUGGUAGUCCACGCCCUAAAACGAUGUCAACUGGUUGUUGGGAAGGUUCCUUCUCAGUAACGUAGCUAACGCGUGAAGUUGACCGCCUGGGGAGUACGGCCGC